GGCUCAGGACGAACGCUGGCGGCGUGCUUAACACAUGCAAGUCGAACGGUGAAGCCCUUCGGGGUGGAUCAGUGGCGAACGGGUGAGUAACACGUGAGCAACCUGCCCCUGACUCUGGGAUAACUACCGGAAACGGUGGCUAAUACCGGAUAUGACAUGCCUGGGCAUCUGGGUGUGUGGAAAGUUUUUCGGUUGGGGAUGGGCUCGCGGCCUAUCAGCUUGUUGGUGGGGUGAUGGCCUACCAAGGCGACGACGGGUAGCCGGCCUGAGAGGGCGACCGGCCACACUGGGACUGAGACACGGCCCAGACUCCUACGGGAGGCAGCAGUGGGGAAUAUUGCGCAAUGGGCGAAAGCCUGACGCAGCGACGCCGCGUGGGGGAUGAAGGCCUUCGGGUUGUAAACCUCUUUCAGCAGGGAAGAAGCGUGAGUGACGGUACCUGCAGAAGAAGCACCGGCUAACUACGUGCCAGCAGCCGCGGUAAUACGUAGGGUGCAAGCGUUGUCCGGAAUUAUUGGGCGUAAAGAGCUCGUAGGCGGUCUGUCGCGUCUGCUGUGAAAACCCGGGGCUUAACCCCGGGCUUGCAGUGGGUACGGGCAGACUAGAGUGCGGUAGGGGAGACUGGAAUUCCUGGUGUAGCGGUGAAAUGCGCAGAUAUCAGGAGGAACACCGGUGGCGAAGGCGGGUCUCUGGGCCGUAACUGACGCUGAGGAGCGAAAGCGUGGGGAGCGAACAGGAUUAGAUACCCUGGUAGUCCACGCCGUAAACGUUGGGCGCUAGGUGUGGGGUCCGUUCCACGGGUUCCGUGCCGCAGCUAACGCAUUAAGCGCCCCGCCUGGGGAGUACGGCCGCAAGGCU
rnacentral:rRNA from 1 species